rnacentral:rRNA from 1 species
CAUGCCGCGUGCGGGAAGAAGGCCUUCGGGUUGUAAACCGCUUUUGUCAGGGAAGAAACGAUCUGCUCUAAUACAGUGGGUUAAUGACGGUACCUGAAGAAUAAGCACCGGCUAACUACGUGCCAGCACCCGCGGUGACUGAGCGGGCUGGCAAGGCGCAUA